rnacentral:rRNA from 1 species
UACAGAGGGGGCAAGCGUUGUUCGGAAUUACUGGGCGUAAAGGGCGCGUAGGCGGCCUGUUAAGUCGAACGUGAAAUCCCCGGGCUCAACCCGGGAACUGCGUCCGAUACUGGCAGGCUUGAAUCCGGGAGAGGGAUGCGGAAUUCCAGGUGUAGCGGUGAAAUGCGUAGAUAUCGAGAGGAACACCUGCGGCGAAGGCGGGUAGCUGGGCCGACACUGACGCUGAGGCGCGAAAGCCAGGGGAGCGAACGGG